GAGGGGGUGACUAGUGACAGAGUGAAGGAGCGGGUGACACAGUAACAGAGUUAGGGAGUGACUAGUGACAGAGAGAGGAAUGGGGUGACUAGUGACAGUCACCCCCUUCCUCCCUCUGUCACCAGUCACUCCCUCCCUCUGUCACCAGUCAUUCCCUCCCUCUGUCACCAGUCAUCCCCUCACUCUGUCACUAGUCACCUCUUCCCUCCCUCACUUUGCCACUAGUCAUCUCUUCCCUC